CUUACCAUAGUUUAUUUAGAACUUUUAAUUUGCAUUUAAACAGAGGGAUUUCCCUGGUGAGC
rnacentral:tRNA from 1 species